AGUGAACGCUGGCGGUAGGCCUAACACAUGCAAGUCGAACGGCAGCACAGUAAGAGCUUGCUCUUACGGGUGGCGAGUGGCGGACGGGUGAGGAAUACAUCGGAAUCUACUUUUUCGUGGGGGAUAACGUAGGGAAACUUGCGCUAAUACCGCAUACGACCUACGGGUGAAAGCAGGGGAUCUUCGGACCUUGCGCGAUUGAAUGAGCCGAUGUCGGAUUAGCUAGUUGGCGGGGUAAAGGCCCACCAAGGCGACGAUCCGUAGCUGAUCUGAGAGGAUAAUCAGCCACACUGGAACUGAGACACGGUCCAGACUCCUACGGGAGGCAGCAGUGGGGAAUAUUGGACAAUGGGCGCAAGCCUGAUCCAGCCAUACCGCGUGGGUGAAGAAGGCCUUCGGGUUGUAAAGCCCUUUUGUUGGGAAAGAAAAGCAGCAGGUUAAUACCCCGCUGUUCUGACGGUACCCAAAGAAUAAGCACCGGCUAACUUCGUG
rnacentral:rRNA from 1 species